CUGCCGGAGGGCUACCGCUAUUGGAGUUCGAUUAAGCCAUGCGAGUCGCGAGUCUUAGGGACUCGGCGUACCGCUCAGUAACACGUGGGUAACCUGCCCCUAUGCUGGGGGAUAACCUCGGGAAACUGAGAAUAAUACCCCAUAGUUCACCACGCCUGGAACGGUGGGUGGACCAAAGCUCCGGCGGCAUAGGAUGGGCCUGCGGCGUAUCAGGUUGUAGGGGGUGUAAUGUACCCUCUAGCCCUCUACGCGUACGGGUGUUGAGAGACAUCGCCCGGAGAUGGAUUCUGAGACACGAAUCCAGACCCUACGGGGUGCAGCAGGCGCGAAAACUUGGCAAUGCGAGAAAUCGUGACCAGGGAACUCCAAGUGCAUCGGGUAAGACCGAUGCUUUUCUUGACUCUUCAAGGGUCUUGGAAUAAGGGGUGGGUAAGGACGGUGCCAGCCGCCGCGGUAAUACCGGCGCCCCAAGUGGUAGUCGCUUUUAUUGGGCCUAAAACGUCCGUAGCCGGUCUGGUACAUUCGUGGGUAAAUCAACCAGCUCAACUGGUUGAAUUCUGCGAGCACGGCCAGACUUGGGACCGGGAGAGGUGUGGGGUACUCUCAGGGUAGGGGUAAAAUCCUGUCAUCCUGAGAGGACCACCUGUUGCGAAGGCGCCACACUAGAACGGAUCCGACGGUCAGGGACGAAGCCUAGGGGCACGAACCGGAUUAGAUACCCGGGUAGUCCUAGGUGUAAACGCUGUGGACUUGAUGUUGGGGGCGCUCCGAGCGCACUCAGUGUCGAAGCGAAGGUGAUAAGUCCACUGCCUGGGGAGUACGGUCGCAAGGCUGAAACUUAAAGGAAUUGGCGGGGGAGCACCGCAACCUGAGGAUUGUGCGGUUUAAUUGGAUCAACGCCGGG
rnacentral:rRNA from 1 species